GUGUAACCACGUGGCCAAUAAGCAAUCAGCUUCUCCGGCAAGGGCUGGGUUACCUUCGGAACAGUAGCUACGGGCCGCAGAAGGAACCUCAACUCCUCACACGUUACUUCGUUGCUAAUGUGAAACUUGGGAGCAAGAUUUGUCGUUUGCAACCCUAAUGAGUAUCACGUCUCCAAUCUGCACCACGUUUUGUGCCUUCUGUUUUAGCCUCCUCAUUUUCUUCCCGUCAAGAACGUUUAGACCUAGAGACAGAGCACGCACGUUAGUGGUGGAGGAGCAGCAGAGGAAGAGGGAGAGAGAGGAUCCCAAGCAGGCACAGAGCCCUUCAUAAGGCUCAAUCUCACAAUCUUGAGAAUCAUGACCUGAGCUGAAAUUAAGAGUCGAUUGCUUACCCAACUGAGCCACCCAGGUGUUCUGUGCUUUACACUCUUAAAUAAUUUUUUCAUCUGCCAAGUUAGGACUUAAAAACCUGAAAUCACUUUUCAUGUGCCAAAUUUCCAUUUUGUAUAUCAGCUAAUGGAUAAAUAUCUUAAGUCUUUCUAUAGGGGCAGCAUAUGCCACUUAAUAUGCCUAUUUCAAUAGUUUCCAUCAAGAUCUGUAUUGUGCAAUAUUUCAGAAUGACUAAUAACAGAUCGAAGGGACCACAGAUCACUCAACUGAACCUGUG
rnacentral:lncRNA from 1 species